ACGGCGACCGUCGCGGCGGCCCUUGCCACGGCGGCGGCGGCGGGGAGCGGGGGGCAGGGCGCGGCGAAGGAGUGGACGAGGUGGACCGUGAGGUGGAAGCACGCGGCGAGGAGCAGGCCCGUGGCGGCGACGGCGGACGCGGGUAGGCGCGACUCCGCGGCUGCCACGAAGGGCUCCACGAACCACGCCGCCGCCGUCGACGCGGCGAGGCAGAGGAAUGCGAGGUGGAGGAGGCGCGAUCUCCCGCCGCUGGCCGCGGCGGCUGGUGGAGGCGGCUGCGUCGGCGUUGCCGGGGGAUGGGUCCCGGCGGUGGCGUUGGAGCGGAGCUGCGUGGGCCCCUCCUGGUCACGCAUCGUCGCGGGCGCCGGCGGCGGGUUCGACGGCACAGCACAGCACAGCACUGGAAGAUGUGCGGAUUGUUCCCUCGUCUGCGGAUGGAAUGCGACUGGCGACGGCUGUUUAUAAUACAGUACUACUCCACGGGAAGCAAAGCACCUCCCGUUUCGCGUCGGCGGCGACGUCGCACGGUCGCAGUGAGUCGUGA
rnacentral:lncRNA from 1 species